rnacentral:misc_RNA from 1 species
GAUUCUGGUUGAUCAGCAGUCUCUUGUUCGAUGGCUAUAUCUGUCUUGUUCUGUCGAGUAUAGAUUCUCAAAUCUGAUCUAUUUAGUCUCCCUCGAGAUUUAGGUGACUCCCCCUGAGUAUCAUUAUUAGGUAUAGGCUUUAAACCCAGAUUUUCCCUUUGAUGUUGAAAGUUGGGAGAAGACAAAUUAGAAGGGAAAGACACCUCUUCUUCCUUCUUAUGCUCCCCCAUAAGAGGUGAAUGGAAAUAAGAUUCAGAUUCCCUAAAGGUAACAUCCAUGCUCACAAAAUAUUUUCGUGUAGGAGGGUGGUAACACCUAUACCCCUUCUGAGUACUUGAAUAACCAACAAAGACACACUU